rnacentral:rRNA from 1 species
CCUACGGGAGGCAGCAGUGAGGAAUAUUGGUCAAUGGGCGCGAGCCUGAACCAGCCAAGCAGCGUGAAUGAUGACUGCCCUACGGGUUGUAAACUUCUUUUAUAAAGGAAUAAAGUGAGGCACGUGUGCCUGUUUGUAUGUACUUUAUGAAUAAGGAUCGGCUAACUCCGUGCCAGCAGCCGCGGUAAUACGGAGGAUCCGAGCGUUAUCCGGAUUUAUGGGGUUUAACGGGAGCGUAGAUGGGUUGUUAAGUUAGUUGUGAAAGUUUGCGGCUCAACCGUAAAAUUGCAAUUGAUACUGGCAGUCUUGAGUACAGUUGAGGUAGGUGGAAUUCGUGGUGUAGCGGUGAAAUGCUUAGAUAUCACGAAGAACUCCGAUGGCGAAGGCAGCUUACUAAACUGCCACUGACAUUGAUGCUCGAAAGUGUGGGUAGCAAACAGGAUUAGAUACCCCUGUAGUC